CCCAUCUAUUUAUAUACUUACUUUUUAAAAUUAAUACUAACUCAUAUAUCCAUUUGUUCAUUCACUCACAUUAUCUGUCAAGGUUCUUUGCUUAUAAGCAACCCGCUUCUGAAUAUUUUCAAGAAAACAAAGGAGAGGGUAUUGGAAUGAUGCCACAACAACUCAGUUUGUAAGAGCUAGAAAGAAUGUUAUGAGUUGAAUCAUAUCCCCUCAAAAUUCUUAACCUGUGGGACCUCAGAACAUGAUCUUAUUCGGAAACAGGACCUUUGAAGCUGCUGUUAGUUAAGCGAAGAUGAGGUCAAUACUGGAGUCCAGCAGUUCCCUGUUCUGAUACGACUGAUGUCCUUAUCAAAAGGAGGCAUUUGGACAGACAGACACACACGGAAAUAAUACAACAUGAAAAGACACACAGAAUCUACAAGCCGACAAGAGAGGCCUGGAACAAAUCCUCCCUUAAGCGACCUCAGAAGGAACCAGCUAUUGACACCUCGAUCUUGGACUCUGUGCCUCUUAAACCACGAGACGGUGCCUCUGUUGGUGAAGCCACUCAAGUUUGUGGUGUUUGUUCUGGCAGCCCCGGCAAUCCAAUACAAUGAUCGGUAUAAGAACCAGCAAAAACCAACCCCCCAGAAAAAAGAAAACCCUGAAAGGAAGUAGGGGCGCUCCAAAGACCUGAGCAGCUCGAUGUCUGUGGUUUUCCUUGGGUCCUGCCAUGAGAAGACCCAGCUCCAACUGUCUUCCAGCACUCUCUUCAUCCUGUGCCCGCAGCAGGAGUCUAACUGGCCCACCUUUACCAGGGGUCUCUGCCUUUGUAUCAGUUGGCCCUGGUCAACAGAGAAUGGAGUGGCGCACACACAGCCGGGGGAGAAGCUCAGAGAAUUUGACAAAAAAACGCUCUACUGCGUUUACAUUGAGGACGCCCCUGGUCCCUGUCUUGGGCUAAGUUCUGGUCCAGAUGUGAGACCUUUUAGCUUUUAACCAACGAAGACCCAAAUGCAUCUUUCCUCAAUUACUGUAAUGAGACUCUUGGCUCCUGCUUUAUGACAAGUAAAUGAAUUUGCCAUUUUGGUGACUGGUUGCUCCAGGGAAUGAUCUGAAGACAUGUGUAGCAAUCCCUCUAAGAUGCUAGGUCAUUACAGACAGUUGUCCAGGGGCUUCCCUGGUGGCUUAGUGGUAGAGAAUCCGCCUGCCAGUGUGGGAGACACAGGUUUGGUUUCUGGUCCCAGAAGGUCCCGUAUGUGCCAGAACUGCUGAGCUGUGCUCUAGAGCCCACGAACCACAACUUCUGAAGCCCAAGCGCCUCAACAAGAGAAGCCACUGCAGUGAGCAGCCCAGACACUGCAGCCGGAAGAUGGCCUCCACUCACCGUGGCUGAGGAGAGGCCCAUGCGGCAGCAAGGACCCAGCCCAGCCCAAAGCAAGCACACA
rnacentral:lncRNA from 1 species